GAUGAACGCUAGCUACAGGCUUAACACAUGCAAGUCGAGGGGUAACGAGAGGAAAGCUUGCUUUCCUUGUCGACGACCGGCGCACGGGUGAGUAACGCGUAUCCAACCUGCCCCCAACUAGGGAAUAACCUUGCGAAAGUAAGACUAAUACCCUAUAAUUUCCUCAGAUGUCAUCUGACGAGGAAUAAAGAUUUAUCGGUUGAGGAUGGGGAUGCGUCUGAUUAGCUUGUUGGCGGGGUAACGGCCCACCAAGGAAACGAUCAGUAGGGGUUCUGAGAGGAAGGUCCCCCACAUUGGAAAGUAGACACGGUCCAAACUCCUACGGGAGGCAGCAGUGAGGAAUAUUGGUCAAUGGGCGGAAGCCUGAACCAGCCAAGUAGCGUGCAGGAUGACGGCCCUAUGGGUUGUAAACUGCUUUUAUACAGGAAUAAAGUUAGCCACGUGUGGUUAUUUGUAGGUACUGUAUGAAUAAGGACCGGCUAAUUCCGUGCCAGCCGCCGCGGUAA
rnacentral:rRNA from 1 species